rnacentral:lncRNA from 1 species
GGAAUUUAAAAACAAAAUAAGAAAUCAACAACCUCGAUCUAUCAUCAGGAUCGAAUGGCCCCAAAACCAUAUAUGAAUUUCCCCUUUUUGGCUCCUUCAAACAGAAAAAACCCUGAAGGGGAAAUGAAAAUGGAGUGAAGAGAGAUCGACGCGGAAGAAUGGAGGAGAGGUUUCAACCGUGCUCAAGGAGAUGAAUUGUCGCCGAUUUGGAGAGAAAAGAGAUGAUCGCCGGUGAAGGAGGGGGCAGAAGAAGUCGAUUGGGAAGAAGAAGAAGAAGGGGAUAGCGUUAUUCGAAGAAGAAGAGGAUAGCGGCAUUGGCGCGUGGAAAAGAGCACCUCAAAUGUCAUCACUCGUCAAGCAUUGAGAGGAAAGAUUGGCGUAGUGUCAACCACCGAUCCCCCAUUUUGUUGCUGUUUACACUUGUCUAUUUUAUUCUUGGCAUUUGGAUGAUUG